rnacentral:rRNA from 1 species
GCAAGUCGAGCGCGAAAUUACCUUCGGGUAAGAGUAGAGCGGCGGACGGGUGAGUAACGCGUGGGAAUCUACCCAGUAGCGGGGGACAACAGUUGGAAACGGCUGCUAAUACCGCAUACGCCCUACGGGGGAAAGCAGGGGAUCUUCGGACCUUGUGCUAUUGGAUGAGCCCGCGUGAGAUUAGCUAGUUGGUGGGGUAAUGGCCUACCAAGGCGACGAUCUAUAGCUGGUUUGAGAGGAUGAUC